GAUCCUGGCUCAGAAUCAACGCUGGCGGCGUGCCUAACACAUGCAAGUCGCACGAGAAAGCGGGCUUCGGCCUGCAAGUACAGUGGCGCACGGGUGAGUAACACGUGAAUCAUCUACCUCCGAGUGGGGAAUAACCUAGGGAAACCUGGGCUAAUACCGCAUAACACUUACGAGUCAAAGCAGCAAUGCGCUUGGAGAGGAGUUCGUGGCAGAUUAGCUAGUUGGUGGGGUAAUGGCCCACCAAGGCGAUGAUCUGUAUCCGGCCUGAGAGGGCGCACGGACACACUGGAACUGAAACACGGUCCAGACUCCUACGGGAGGCAGCAGUGGGGAAUUUUGCGCAAUGGGGGAAACCCUGACGCAGCAACGCCGCGUGGAGGAUGAAAUCCCUUGGGAUGUAAACUCCUUUCGAUCGGGACGAUUAUGACGGUACCGGAAGAAGAAGCCCCGGCUAACUUCGUGCCAGCAGCCGCGGUAAUACGAGGGGGGCAAGCGUUGUUCGGAAUUAUUGGGCGUAAAGGGCGCGUAGGCGGUUUGACAAGUCUGAUGUGAAAUCUCUGGGCUCAACCCAGAGUCUGCAUUAGAAACUGUCGGGCUUGAGUAUGGGAGAGGUGAGUGGAAUUUCCGGUGUAGCGGUGAAAUGCGUAGAUAUCGGAAGGAACACCUGUGGCGAAAGCGGCUCACUGGACC
rnacentral:rRNA from 1 species